AUUGAACGCUGGCGGCAGGCCUAACACAUGCAAGUCGAGCGGAUGACGGGAGCUUGCUCCCUGAUUCAGCGGCGGACGGGUGAGUAAUGCCUAGGAAUCUGCCUGGUAGUGGGGGACAACGUUUCGAAAGGAACGCUAAUACCGCAUACGACCUACGGGAGAAAGCAGGGGACCUUCGGGCCUUGCGCUAUCAGAUGAGCCUAGGUCGGAUUAGCUAGUUGGUGGGGUAAUGGCUCACCAAGGCGACGAUCCGUAACUGGUCUGAGAGGAUGAUCAGUCACACUGGAACUGAGACACGGUCCAGACUCCUACGGGAGGCAGCAGUGGGGAAUAUUGGACAAUGGGCGAAAGCCUGAUCCAGCCAUGCCGCGUGUGUGAAGAAGGUCUUCGGAUUGUAAAGCACUUUAAGUUGGGAGGAAGGGCAGUAAGCUAAUACCUUGCUGUUUUGACGUUACCGACAGAAUAAGCACCGGCUAACUCUGUGCCAGCCGCCGCCGUAA
rnacentral:rRNA from 1 species